GAUCACAGGCUUUUCCAACAUGCUAUAUUGUUCUUUGUCUGUUUAUUUCCACAGAAUAUGGAAUUGCUCUUAAAGAAAGAAAACAAUUGAACAGUCCCAGGAAGACAGAAUCUCAUUGAUUAAGGGGAGAUUUGGAAUGUGCAGUUGAAUAUCAGAAUGAAAGGCUGAAUUUCUGCAAAGACGGAUGUGAAACCAUCAGUGGAAGGGAUACAGAUACAGAGUGAAUCCCAUGGGAUGACAUGUUGGCUUAUGUGUGAAUUGGAUUUAAGCAAGACAGAGUUACACAAAGUUGUCAACUUCACUCUGUCUUCCGGUAUCAUCAACUUCAAUGGCAAGAGCAAAGUUGAGAAGAAUGGUGAUAACCUGGAUGUAAUAAACAUUCUUGACAUCUUCAGUGUCUGACCAAGUUUUAAGAGCUAUAUAUCACCUACUUCAAGUGCCUUCAUUAACCAGUGGAACAAAUUAUUCUCAUCUACCUAUUCCAUUGAGAGACAUCUUCACAUGUUUGAGAUAGAUAUCCCCCUAACUCAACAAUUGGUUUGAGACCUUAUUGGUUACUCCAAUCUGGUUUAACCUCUCUGAAAAAAUGGUUUUACUGGGGUGUGGCUACAGGACAUGAAGUCAGAGCUGAGAACUGGGUAGCAAGGUACACAUUGAAGAUAAAUAAGCAGUCCUGAAAAAGAACUAGACAACCCCUUCCACCAGAGGAGCUGUUUUUCCUUGAACAAGAUAACUUAUUUCUCUGGACCAAAAUUUCUUCUUUUGUAAAAUUGCUGUAGCAACGCCUGUACUACCUAUUUCACAGGACUUCUGUAAGGGAAACCAUCCUUAGACUUCAAUGUGCAAAUACAUUUUCUAAACAGUGAUAUAAAUGUGUAAAUUAUAAAACUCUAUACUCUCUACGACUCACCAUAGUGCUGUACAUUGUUCCCCUGGAUCCUCUCUUUGUUAUCUGUCUACCACUCUAUAUCUGUACCAUCCCUAUGACUAAAGAAAUGUAGAACUCCUGCUAUAAGAUACUUUCACUGAUGCUGAUCAGCAGUUCUUCUAUAAUAUAAAAUAAUGUAAAAGCACUGAGAAACUGAGUCACUUAUCCUUGGUCGCUAUGUUAGGAAUACAAGGCCAACCCUCUAAUUCCUGGGCCAUGCUGCCUUUUAAUAUAUAUGAGCUUAAGAAAAAAAAUAAAUAAGAGGGAAAGAAAAUUGUAAGUAAAAAUUGCCUUUAGAAGCUAUAGUAUUAUUGAAAGAAAGUCUUAUUGAAAACAAAAACAAACUCCAUUUCUAGGCUAGAAAUAUCUCAGUAGAGCACUAGACAACUGCCUAAGGGUAAAGAUUCUACUAGUCCUUUUUAUCACAAAGUAUGGCUGGCAAAGAUUGGAUAAGAGGAUGCCAUGAUAAUGAUGAACAGGUGCCUGGUAGCUGAACCAUGUGCAUAAUAAAAGCAAUUAAAUGUCUGUUGGAUAUAAGAAUAUAGUUUGUUGUAUUAGUUUGAAUAUUUGUGUUUCCCUCAGAAAACAUGAGAUCUGAAGGCAAAUAAAUUAGGUCUAUGGCCAGGAAGUAAUAAAAGCCUAUGGUUUAAUAUAACACAAUUAGCCCUUGACUUUGAGGAGAAUGAUGACCAUGAUUGGGAAGUUCUUAACAAAAUGGAUCUGUUUUCACUGGUGUCAAUUGCCUUCUCCCCCUGGCCUCUUAUUCCCUUCCUUCCCUAAAUCAUCCACAGAAUUCUAUCUAAUAAGUUGGUCACAUUAAAUAUAUGUUUAUGUGUGUCAUAGACCCCUUUGGCAGUCUGAUGAAGCCCAGAGUCAUUCAUAAAAUACUUCUUUUUUAAUGUAUAAAAUAAAAUACAAAGAAUUACUUAGAAAACCACAAAUAGAGAGAAUUCUGAGAAGAUGGCAGAGUAGGUCAAAAAAUUCCAAGCUCACCAGAUUUUCCCCACAAACAAUACAAAUACCACAUCAAGGCAAACAUAGAGCAGUAAAAACAAGAGUUAGGAUAGAAAAGUGGUUCUCUAGGUACAACCACAGAAGAUCCAAAGAAAGAUACUGGAACAGAAAUUUGGCCCCUGUAGAAUAUAUACAUUUUCAGGCUAGCUCUGCUUAAACAGCAAGCGUAAGCUCUGGAGCUGGCUGGGUUGGAGGGUAGUUUUAGCUCCAGCCACAGGAAUUUUCAUCUCCCAGGCUGUUUGCACAGUUGGGCAUCUGAAUGAGGGAAGACUGAGGGAACCUUUGCUGAUGAGGGAUGCCAGGACCAGAUGUGCUGCCACAUAUGUGGCCCUGAAUGAGAAAAAGUGAGUAUAGAAGUGGGAUAGGAAUGUUACUGCCUGUGGGCACUUAUAGUGGGAUGGGUGGAGUUCUUGUUUUCAGGUUCCAGCCUAGAGGGUGAGAACUGAAGGAGAACCUGAGGCCAGAGGCAUCAUUUCUCAUCUCCCAGGACUGCAGAUAAUUAUACAAACAAAAUGCUAUACAUUUUACACAAACAAAAAGAGCAGGCAAAGGAGAAAGAAUCCAACCAUAGAAAGUUACUAUGGGAAGAGUAGUGAUUUGUCUUCAGAGAAAGAUACUGAAGCAAAAAAGGCUCUUCUAUUCCAAAGACUAAUUUCAAAUGGUCACCUGCCCCCAAAUA